CUUCUCUGUCACUCGCAGCUCGCUGUAGAAACCCUAACAAUCCCAAAAAAAUGCGAAAAUGCCGAUCACAGAAGAGCAGAGACAGAGAGCAGAAGCGAAUCGAUUGGCGGCUUUAGCAAAGAGAAAAGCAUUCACGGAAUCUAUCAUCAACCAACGACAACAACAAGACCAACAUAAUCCAUGGCGGCUCUUCAAGUGCCGAAAGCUCACUCCCGAGCUCGCUUCUACUACCCUUUGCCGGAAUUCGAAUACUCAUUUGGAGCAAAAGUUCCGGGUCCGGCUCGAAAUAUGCUCUCCUGACUCGUUCUCCGUCACGCCAGAGGCUUUACAAGGGUUUGCCUAUCCGGGGGAAGAGGAGUGCUUUAGGAGAUUAAACUGUUGCUUAUCCGAUGUAAUCCCAUCACACUACACGCAAAAUCAUGGAGGUGGAAAAGCCUGCGUUUAUAAGCUUAGAGAUUAUGAUGGAGUUUUGUCCUGUUUAAAGAAUUAUAAGGGCAUUGAAAUUCAGAAGAUACCUUUUGGCACACUAAAUGUUGUCCAAAGACUUUUACAUUCCUUUGAGACUGGGCAAUGGGAACCCCUCAGGCCUGAACAUUUGACUGAUGAAAAUGUUGAUGAAUUGAUAGGGAAACUGCCAAGAAAGAUAUUGGAUGUGCUGUUGCCCUUCCAACUGGAUGGUUUAAGAUUUGGUUUGAGAAGGGGUGGUCGCUGCCUUAUUGCAGAUGAAAUGGGUCUUGGAAAAACGCUUCAGGCAAUAGCUAUUGCAGGCUGUUUCAUGAAUGAAGGUCCUAUACUUGUUGUUUGCCCAGCCAUUUUGCGGUUUUCAUGGGCUGAAGAAUUAGAGCGAUGGCUGCCCUCUUGUUUACCUUCUGAGAUCCACCUUGUUUUUGGUCAUCGAAAUAAUCCUGCAUAUCUAACAAGAUGCCCAAGAGUUGUGGUUAUUUCUUAUACAAUGCUUCAUCACUUGAGAAAGAGCAUGCUUGAGCGAGAAUGGGCUCUCUUAAUAGUUGAUGAAUCUCACCAUGUGCGUUGUUCAAAGAAGAAGUCAGAAUCAAGUGAGAUAAAAGCUGUUCUUGAAGUGGCAGCAAAGGUCAAGCGCAUAGUUCUUUUAUCUGGGACACCUUCUUUAUCCAGGCCAUAUGACAUUUUUCAUCAGAUAAAUAUCUUAUGGCCUGGUUUACUGGGACAGACCAAGUAUGACUUUGCAAAAACAUAUUGUGCGGUUAAAUAUGUCCGGACUUCUGAAGGGAAACACUUCCAGGAUUUCUCAAAGGGCAUUCGCUUGGAGGAAUUGAACAUGUUACUUAGACAAACUGUUAUGAUAAGGCGUUUGAAGAAGCAUGUGAUGGAGCAGUUACCACCAAAACGUCGAAAAAUCAUAAGAUUGUUGUUGAAGAGAUCUGACAUAGUCUUAGCAAUGACUGCUGUUGGGACUGUGACUGAUGAUGCUUCUGAAGAUAGUAGGGCUAUUUGCAAGUCAAGCCAACUUUCUUAUCAAGAGCUUGGUGUUGCAAAACUGUCUGGAUUUCGUGAAUGGCUUUGCAUUCAGCCACUCAUUUCAGAGUCAGAUGUGGAAGCAGAAUUGGAUGUAAACCCCAAUGCUCAAAAAAUGAUAAUUUUUGCUCAUCACCAUAAAGUCCUUGAUGGAGUGCAGGAGCUCAUGUGUGAGAAAGGGGUUUGUUUUGUUCGCAUUGAUGGAAACACGCUUCCUAAAGAUAGGCAAUCAGCUGUACAUUCAUUCCAAUCUUCAAAUGAGGUUAAGAUUGCAAUAAUUGGCAUAACUGCUGGGGGUAUUGGACUUGAUUUCUCCUCAGCUCAAAAUGUCGUGUUCUUGGAGCUGCCUCAGUCCCCAUCACUGAUGCUUCAGGCUGAAGAUAGAGCUCACAGGCGAGGGCAGACAAAUGCAGUCAACAUAUACAUCUUUUGCGCAAAGGGAACUAUGGAUGAAAGACAUUGGCAAUACUUAAACAAGAGUCUGCAUCGUGUUUCAUCAACUACAAAUGGAAAAUAUGAUGCAGUACCAGAGAUAGCAGUUGAUGAUAUUUCCUAUCUAGAAACAAUGGGUAAAACUGAGCAAUCUCAUGAAGAUCAAGUUCUCGAUAAACAAUAUGGCAAGCUCUCUGCCACAGAGCUGAGGAAAUUAACAGAUUCUGGCUCAGCACAGGGUACACGACCUUUUGAAACCCAUGAUGAAGCAGCUGGAAUGAUAAAUGAUAGACCCAGAGAACAAGCUAGUUCUGGUGCCGCCUCUGUUCAAGCAGAUGAUUUUCAUCUUGAGGUAGAAAAGGCUAGUGGUGUACUUGAUCAAGAACUAUACAAUUAUAUUGUUGCAAAUGAAAACCUAGAGAGAAAUGUGUCUGAAAGUGAAAUUAGUGGAGUUUCUUCUUCUAUGUUGGAUAAGGGAAAUGGAGGCAAGGAUCAGUUAGAAAAGGGACAGAAAAGUUAUUCUCAAACAACAGAAAUAGACAACCAUGGAUCUGUUCAGGAAGAUGAUGAACCUUUCUCCAACCAAGUACACUCUCUGCGCUUUGAGGUAAGUAAAUAUACUGGGAGGAUUCACCUGUAUUCCUGCAAUCCGGGGACAGACUCAAGGCCACAGCCGCUAUUUGAAAAUUUCCGCCCAGAGGAACUUGAGACACUUAAUUCUCCAGUGGCCAAUGACAACAAGGAAAUAACUUCUAGAUCUUUCAAUGGCAACCCAGCAUAUAGGCGUGCUCUUCUUGCAUUCAUUAAUGAAUGGAAUAAACUAAGGCCCAUUGAGAGAAGGAAACUAGUUGGAAAGACUUUGCAGCUUCCUCUAUCUAUUGAGUUGUGCUACUUGAAUGAAAAUAUUAACCACAGUACUGAGGUCAACUAAGCUUUAAUCUCAAAGUAGUAGGAGUUGGCUAAGGGAUCCUUUUCCUUCUAUUCCACAAGAUUUAGGGCAGCUAAGUGCCCAAGUCCUUUCUCAUAUAUUGUUACUUAAUUUUCUUUUAAGAUAAAGGAAGAACAUAUUGGAAAAAAAGAAAGAAGAAACAUUACAAUUUGGACGUUACAACUAGUAUCCUCUAACUAAAAUCAAGAAACAAAAGAAAAAUUCAAAAUUAUAAAGCUCUCAGUAGUUUGAUAUCAGCUAUGUACACUCUUUAAUAUUCCUUCAACAGUAUCACACAAUGAUGCCAAAAGAAACAAAUUUUUAUCAUAACAGCUCUGUGGGAAAAAUUUGAUCAAUUAAAAUCCCUAGAAUUCCUUUCCAACCAAAUUUACCAAAUCACUAAACACAAAGAAAACACUAUAACCUCGCCACAUUUUUCUGAUCAAACUCCUUAAAAUUUUUCAAUUUCAACUAAUCUUCCAAACUCUAGAUGGUAACUUCUACUGAAAAUCUCCCACAACUUCAAUUCCAGUUUUGAUAUGGAUCAAUAAACAGAACAGUGCCAAAAAGAAGAUAAAACGUAGCAUAAUUUACUAUGUUCAAAGCAUAGAACACAAAUAUCCAGUGAAUAUGCGCAAAUUACUCUUUUUUACCUUUUUUGAGGACGAGAGACUGGAUAAGAACCUGGACUUUGAAUGGAACUUAAGCCUUCCAUAUAUAUGUAGCCAAAGCAAAAGAAAUUUAAUUAGGAAGACAAUAAGAUGAUUGUGAAAUGAGUUGCAAGAAAAUACUGCAAAAUUCUUUUUAAGUCCAGAAAUUUCUACAUGGUGUAGAAGGACAGUAAGAAAUAAGAGAUUAAGCAACAAAAAUAAGAUCUCUUACUCCCCAUCAUUUAGAUUUUUGAGUAAAAAAAAAUUAACAGCCUAUUGAAUUCCUACUGUCUACUGUUAUGAGGAAGCUUAAAAUGGUGCAUUGGAGAUUGGACAGAUUAGGGAAAGGAAUUGAAAAUGAAACGUCAAUUCUAGAAAAUAAUUAAUUUAUAAAAUCUUUCUUUAACACUAAAAUGUGGCUGAGUAUGGUAAAUUGAAUGGUUUGGGUAACAAUUGAGCAAAUCUUUGUAAUAGGGACUGCUGAAGGGUGGAAGCAAGCGACGCAUGACUCCUUGGGAUGAGAUUAGCUACCCUUUACCAUCAAAUGCUGUUUGGAAAAAGGUAAAUCUAUCAGGUAGCUAUGGAAAGAAGGAAAAACAAUACACGCAGGGUUGGACCCUAAUGGAUGAGCCACUAUGUAAACUCUGUCAAACACCAUGCAAGGGCAACAAUGCCAAGACACCUGAAUUUUUUGAGGAUCUUUUCUGUAACCUUAGCUGCUAUGAAGAAUAUCGCGUAAGGACUAGUAGCAGAUCCCUUCGUCAGGAACUUUUUCAAAUAGAACAUGGGGUUUGCAUGAAUUGCCAGUUAGACUGUCAUCAACUUGUGAAGACCAUAAAACCUUUAUCAUUGGAGAGGCGAAGAGAAUAUAUAGAGAAAGUAGCACCAAAUGUGGCCAAUCGGAAGAAAUUAAUUGAUAAGCUUGUGAAUAAUCCAUAUGAAGGCAAUGCAUGGCAUGCAGACCAUAUUAUUCCUGUCUACCGAGGUGGAGGUGAAUGCAGACUAGAGAACAUGAGGACUCUUUGUGUUGCAUGCCAUUAUGAUGUUACAGCAGCACAACGUGCUGAACGACGUGUAACAAGGGCCAAGGCCAAGGAACAGCUCAAAGUCAUUAUGAAUGACCUCAAAUAUAACCAGAAUAUGGAGGAGAUUGACAGUAAUUCUAAGGGCCUACGACAUUCUGAGAUGCAAGACGAUGUAAUUGAAGAUGAACUUUUUGUCAAAGUUCCUGGAAGUGCCUAUUCUGCAGAACAAGACACAUAUCCUGAAGGCAAAGGCUUGAAGACGUAUUCAUUAGAAAUACAGUGAAGAAGAAUCUGCAUACAGCAGCAUUAAAUUCAUACAUGUGGCACCAUGGAUUCUACCUGUCUCUUUUAAUAAUAGCUUGUGUAUCCUUCCUUAACAUGUAAAUUAAGCUAGCACAGGUUUGAAGCCCAGCUGGCUUGCAAAAUUGGAGUAGAAACAAAAAUGGCUUGACAAUGAUUUGAACAAUUCUGCUCUAUAUUUUUCAUCAUGGCAAUGCCUUCUCAACCUUGUUAUGUAUUUAGUCAAGCAGUAUUGUAACUAGUAACUAUGUUGUUUCUUUUCUUUCUUUCUUUUAUUACUAUUUUUUGUGUUUUUCUAAUAAAAA
rnacentral:misc_RNA from 1 species